rnacentral:rRNA from 1 species
GCGACCGGCGCACGGGUGAGUAACGCGUAUGCAACCUACCUACUACUGGGGAAUAACCCGGCGAAAGUCGGACUAAUACCGCAUAAACAGGGGUACCGCAUGGUAAUAUUUGUUAAAGAUUAUUGGUAGUAGAUGGGCAUGCGUUCCAUUAGCUAGUUGGCGGGGUAACGGCCCACCAAGGCAACGAUGGAUAGGGGUUCUGAGAGGAAGGUCCCCCACACUGGUACUGAGACACGGACCAG